AGUGAACGCUGGCGGUAGGCCUAACACAUGCAAGUCGAACGGCCGCACAGUAAGCGCUUGCUCUUACGGGUGGCGAGUGGCGGACGGGUGAGGAAUACAUCGGAAUCUACUUUUUCGUGGGGGAUAACGUAGGGACACUUACGCUAAUACCGCAUACGACCUACGGGUGAAAGCAGGGGAUCUUCGGACCUUGCGCGAUUGAAUGAGCCGAUGUCGGAUUAGCUAGUUGGCGGGGUAAAGGCACACCAAGGCGACGAUCCGUAGCUGGUCUGAGAGGAUGAUCGGCCACACUGGAACUGAGACACGGUCCAGACUCCUACGGGAGGCAGCAGUAGGGAAUAUUGGGCAAUGGGCGCAAGCCUGAUCCAGCCAUACCGCGUGAGUGAAGAAGGCCUUCGGGUUGUAAAGCCCUUUUAUUGGGAAAGAAAAACAGCAGGUUAAUACCCCGCUGUUCUGACGGUACCCAAAGAAUAAGCACCGGCUAACUUCGUG
rnacentral:rRNA from 1 species